UCCCUUGUGGCUCAGCUGAAAGAAUCUGCCUGCAAUGCAGGAGGCCUGGGUUCGAUCCCUGGUUUGGGAA
rnacentral:tRNA from 1 species